GUUGAAACGCCAGUUCCCGUACGAUGACAGAAGUUAAGUAACGUAGGGCCUGAUCAUUAACUUCAUGGGUGACCACUUGAGAAUACCAGGUGUUGUAA